UAGAAAAUAAUAUAAGGGAAGUAUGAAGGGGUUUGAUCUCUUACGUGUAGGUUCGAAUCCUACUUUUCUAAU
rnacentral:tRNA from 1 species